rnacentral:rRNA from 1 species
AUUGAACGCUGGCGGCAGGCCUAACACAUGCAAGUCGAACGGCAGCACAGAAGAGCUUGCUCUUUGGGUGGCGAGUGGCGGACGGGUGAGUAAUGUCUGGGAAACUGCCCGAUGGAGGGGGAUAACUACUGGAAACGGUAGCUAAUACCGCAUAACGUCGCAAGACCAAAGUGGGGGACCUUCGGGCCUCACACCAUCGGAUGGGCCCAGAUGGGAUUAGCUAGUAGGUGGGGUAAUGGCUCACCUAGGCGACGAUCCCUAGCUGGUCUGAGAGGAUGACCAGCCACACUGGAACUGAGACACGGUCCAGACUCCUACGGGAGGCAGCAGUGGGGAAUAUUGCACAAUGGGCGCAAGCCUGAUGCAGCCAUGCCGCGUGUAUGAAGAAGGCCUUCGGGUUGUAAAGUACUUUCAGCGGGGAGGAAGGCGGUGAGGUUAAUAACCUCGCCGAUUGACGUUACCCGCAGAAGAAGCACCGGCUAACCCCGUGCCAGCAGCCGCCGUAA